rnacentral:rRNA from 1 species
UAAUACGAAGGGGGCGAGCGUUAUUCGGAAUCACUGGGCGUAAAGCGUGCGUAGGCGGUUUUGAAAGUUGGAAGUGAAAGCCCAGGGCUCAACCCUGGAAUUGCUCUCAAAACUACAAGACUCGGAUUCGGGAGAGGAUAGCGGAAUUGUCAGUGUAGCAGUGAAAUGCGUAGAUAUUGACAGGAACACCAGUGGCGCAAGCGGCUAUCUGGACCGACAUCGACGCUGAGGCACGAAAGCGUGGGGAUCAAACAGGAUUAGAUACCCUGGUAGUCCACGCCGUAAACGAUGUGUGUUUGUCGCCGGGGGGUUCACUCUUCGGUGACGCAGCUAACGCGUUAAGCACACCGCCUGGGAAGUACGGUCGCAAGAUUA